rnacentral:ncRNA from 1 species
CAACAACCACACGGGAGCGCACACGACAGUGCGCUGAGAGGACGGCUGGGGCCGUCGACCGUAGAACCUGUCCGGGUAAUGCCGGCGUAGGGAGUGAG